rnacentral:rRNA from 1 species
UACGUAGGGGCCAAGCGUUGUCCGGAUUUAUUGGGCGUAAAGAGCGUGUAGGCGGCCAGGUAGGUCAGCUGUGAAAACUCGAGGCUCAACCUCGAGACGCCGGUUGAAACCAUCUGGCUAGAGUCCGGAAGAGGAGAGUGGAAUUCCUGGUGUAGCGGUGAAAUGCGCAGAUAUCAGGAAGAACACCCGUGGCGAAGGCGGCUCUCUGGGCCGAUACUGACGCUGAGGAGCGAAAGCGUGGGGAGCGAACAGG